rnacentral:rRNA from 1 species
CCUACGGGAGGCAGCAGUGGGGAAUAUUGGACAAUGGGCGAAAGCCUGAUCCAGCCAUGCCGCGUGUGUGAAGAAGGUCUUCGGAUUGUAAAGCACUUUAAGUUGGGAGGAAGGGCAGUAAGUUAAUACCUUGCUGUUUUGACGUUACCAACAGAAUAAGCACCGGCUAACUUCGUGCCAGCAGCCGCGGUAAUAAGAAGGGUGCAAG